rnacentral:rRNA from 1 species
UACGGGAGGCAGCGGUGGGGAAUAUUGCACAAUGGGCGAAAGCCUGAUGCAGCUAUGCCGCGUGUAUGAAGAAGGCCUUAGGGUUGUAAAGUACUUUCAUCGGGGAGGAAAAAACAAAACUAAUAAUUUUAUUUCUUGACGUUACCCGAAAAAGAAGCACCGGCUAACUCCGUGCCAGCAGCCGCGGUAAUACGGAGGGUGCUAGCGUUAAUCAGAAUUACUGGGCGUAAAGAGCACGUAGGUGGUUUUUUUAAAGUCAGAUGUGAAAUCCCUGGGCUUUAACCUAGGAACUGCAUUUUGAAACUGAAAUACUAGAGUAUCGUAGAGGGAGGUAGAAUUCUAGGUGUAGCGGUGAAAUGCGUAGAUAUCUGGAGGAAUACCUGUGGCGAAAGCGGCCUCCUAAACGAAUACUGACACUGAGGUGCGAAAGCGUGGGGAGCAAACAGGGAUUAGAUACC